ACACCUGUUCCCAUGCCGAACACAGAAGUUAAGCUCCUUAGCGUCGAUGGUAGUCAAACUUACGUUCCGCUAGAGUAGAACGUUGCCAGGC
rnacentral:rRNA from 1 species